rnacentral:rRNA from 1 species
AGAAUCAACGCUGGCGGCGUGCCUAACACAUGCAAGUCGAACGAGAAAGUGGGAGCAAUCCCACGAGUAAAGUGGCGCACGGGUGAGUAACACGUGACUAACCUACCCUUGAGUGGGGGAUAACCUAGGGAAACCUGGGCUAAUACCGCAUAAUACCUACGGGUCAAAGGAGCAAUUCGCUUUAGGAGGGGGUCGCGGCAGAUUAGUUAGUUGGCGGGGUAAUGGCCCACCAAGACAGUGAUCUGUAUCCGGCCUGAGAGGGCGCACGGACACACUGGAACUGAAACACGGUCCAGACUCCUACGGGAGGCAGCAGUGGGAAUUUUGCGCAAUGGGGGAAACCCUGACGCAGCAACGCCGCGUGGAGGAUGAAGCCCCUUGGGGCGUAAACUCCUUUCGAUCGGGAAGAUAAUGACGGUACCGGAAGAAGAAGCCCGGCUAACUUCGUGCCAGCAGCCGC